rnacentral:lncRNA from 1 species
UGUUUGCCCAGCGGGUGAGCAGUAAGCUUUGUGCUUAUUCCUGGCUCCUGGAGAUCUGCCUCCAGGGAAACGCCUUCAGGGUCACAGUGAAAUCUCUGUGGCAGCUAAUAAAGAAACCCGUCUGCCUCUGGAACCCUGACCUGGGGAGGUGCAGGCUGGACUCCUCCUCCUCUCUGUCGCCAGACGAAGCAGAAAGAGAAGUGGCCUGAGGGACAGGAGAGCUUUCGUUGUCCAAUCUCCAGUGUUUUUAAGAAGACUCUGCGCGGAGCACCCUGCUCUGCUCCCAACCCUGCGUCCACCCUGGUCCGGGAGUCGUCAGCUGACACUGAGGAGCCCCUGUGUGUACCGGGC